rnacentral:rRNA from 1 species
CUCCUCUCGUGGAUUCAGUUGGUCGGCCGGUCCACGCCGAACCUCAACGCUCCACUGGUGUCCUCUCUUGCUGAUCGGUGGAGGCCAGAGACGCACAGUUUCCAUCUUCGGACUGGGAAGAUGACCGUGACGCUCCAGGAUGUAUCCUUGAUCACCGGUCUUCCUAUCGACGGGAGGCCUCUCUGUAUGAGCACCGAUUCUGAUGGGUGGCGCCAGCAGAUCGAUGACUGCUCUUAUCGGUAUGUCUCCUACCGAGCCUGA